GCGGAUAUGGCGGAAUUGGCAGACGCGCUGGUUUCAGGUUCCAGUGGGCGACCAUGCAGGUUCAAGUCCUGUUAUCCGCACCA
rnacentral:tRNA from 1 species